UACGAAGGGGGCUAGCGUUGCUCGGAAUCACUGGGCGUAAAGCGCACGUAGGCGGGUCGUUAAGUCAGGGGUGAAAUCCCGGAGCUCAACUCCGGAACUGCCUUUGAUACUGGCGAUCUUGAGUUCGAGAGAGGUGAGUGGAACUGCGAGUGUAGAGGUGAAAUUCGUAGAUAUUCGCAAGAACACCAGUGGCGAAGGCGGCAUCCUGGACCAACACUGACGCUGAGGAGCGACAGCGUGGGGAGCAAACAGG
rnacentral:rRNA from 1 species